rnacentral:rRNA from 1 species
GACGAACGCUGGCGGCGUGCCUAAUACAUGCAAGUUGAGCGCUGAAGGUUGGUACUUGUACCAACUGGAUGAGCAGCGAACGGGUGAGUAACGCGUGGGGAAUCUGCCUUUGAGCGGGGGACAACAUUUGGAAACGAAUGCUAAUACCGCAUAAAAACUUUAAACACAAGUUUUAAGUUUGAAAGAUGCAAUUGCAUCACUCAAAGAUGAUCCCGCGUUGUAUUAGCUAGUUGGUGAGGUAAAGGCUCACCAAGGCGAUGAUACAUAGCCGACCUGAGAGGGUGAUCGGCCACAUUGGGACUGAGACACGGCCCAAACUCCUACGGGAGGCAGCAGUAGGGAAUCUUCGGCAAUGGACGAAAGUCUGACCGAGCAACGCCGCGGGAGUGAAGAAGGGUUUCGGAUCGUAAAACUCUGUUGGUAGAGAAGAACGUUGGUGGGAGUGGAAAGCUCAUCAAGUGACGGUAACUACCCAGAAAGGGACGGCUAACUACGUG